UUUACCCUUGUUAAUAACAAAUUUCAUUGUUUUUUAAUAAUAAACAAUGUUCCGUAUGUUGCAAAACGCUGCAAAUUUAAUACACGUUAGAAAACGGUAAGAACAACCUAAUUCCAAGUUUGCAGCGUGUUACUAAUUUUUUUACCCCUGUUAUUAACAAAUUUUAUUGUUUUUUAAUAAUAAACAAUGUUCCGUGUAUUGCAAAACGCUGCAAAUUUAAUACACGUUACAAAACGGUAAGAACAACCUAAUCCCAAAUUUGCAGCGUGUUACUAAUUUUUUACGCAAUGUUAUUAACAAAAAACCUUUUUCACCCCUUUUCAACCCUUUCCGUACACCCCAGAACGCUGCAAAAUCACACGGUAAGUUAUUUUACCUUCUUUAACAACCCCCUAAAAUUUUAUCAAGUUACUAAUUUCUUUCGCGUUUUGGCUUUAAUGACUGGCCUAUUUUGAACGUUCAGUAUAUUAACUUUAU